rnacentral:rRNA from 1 species
UUUUGGUCAAGCUAAUAAGAGCAAGCGGUGAAUGCCUUGGCGGCAGGAGGCGAUGAAGGACGUAGCGAGCUGCGAUAAGCCUCGGGGAGCUGCUAAGCGAGCUUUGAUCCGAGGAUUUCCGAAUGGGGAAACCCGGCCGGGGUCAUGCCCGGUCAUCCCGCGCUGAAUUCAUAGGCGCGAGGAAGCAAACCCAGGGAACUGAAACAUCUAAGUACCUGGUGGAAAGGACAUCAACCGAGACUCCCCUAGUAGUGGCGAGCGAACGGGGAAAAGCCCAAACCGGUGGGAAGAAAUUCGCACCGGGGUUGUGGGACCUCAACAUGAGACUCGAUGUGUCAGUCGAACGGACUGGAAAGUCCGGCCAUAGCGGGUGAUAGCCCCGUAGACGAAGGCGCAGGAAGCUCUAGAGGUAUCCCGAGUAGCGCCGGGCACGUGAAACCCGGUGCGAAGCAGGGGGGACCAUCCUCCAAGGCUAAGUACUACCUGCCGACCGAUAGUGAACCAGUACCGUGAGGGAAAGGCGAAAAGAACCCCGGUGAGGGGAGUGAAAUAGAACCUGAAACCGCUUGCUUACAAACGGUGGGAGCCCUAUGGCGCCUUCGGGCGCAAAGGGUGACUGCGUACCUUUUGCAUAAUGAGUCCGCGAGUUACGUCUUGCAGCGAGGUUAAGCCGUUCAGGUGUAGCCGUAGCGAAAGCGAGUCCGAAUAGGGCGAUGAGUUGCAGGAAGUAGACCCGAAGCCAGGUGAUCUAUCCAUGGCCAGGGUGAAGCUGCGGUAAAACGCAGUGGAGGCCCGAACCGUAGUAAGUUGAAAAUUACCCGGAUGAGCUGUGGAUAGGGGUGAAAGGCUAAUCAAACCUGGAGAUAUCUGGUUCUCCCCGAAAUAUAUUUUCGUAUAGCGUUGCAUGAUCUCCAUCGGAGGUAGAGCACUGGAUGGGCUAGGGGUCCUACCAGAUUACCGAACCCAACCAAACUCCGAAUGCCGGUGAGAGCAGUGCAGCAGUCAGACGUAUGGGGGAUAACCUCCAUAGUCGAGAGGGAAAGAACCCAGACCGUCGGCUAAGGUCCCCAAGUGUGUGCUGAGUGGGAAAGGAUGUGAGACCGUUUAGACAGCCAGGAGGUUGGCUUAGAAGCAGCCAUCCUUCAAAAAGUGCGUAAUAGCUUACUGGUCGAGUAGUCUCGCGCCGAAAAUGUAACGGGGCUAAGCACGCCACCGAAGCCGCGGAUUCACAUCAUCUUCGGAUGAUGUGUCUGGUAGGGGAGCGUUCCAGUAGCCAAUGAAGGUCGACCGUGAGGACGGCUGGAGGUUCUGGAAGUGAAUAUGCGGACAUGAGUAGCGAUAAAGCGAGUGAGAAACUCGCUCGCCGUAAACCUAAGGUUUCCUGGGUAAAGCUAAUCUUCCCAGGGUCAGCCGGCCCCUAAGCCGAGGCCGAAAGGCGUAGGUGAUGGGAAACGGGUUAAUAAUUCCCGUGCCGCUAGCGUAGCGUUCGACCGAAGGGGGGACGGAGAAGGGUAGCUGUACCGCCUGUUGGAUUAGGCGGGGAAAGUAUGUAGGCGGGGUUCGCAGGAAAAUCCACGAACCCAUUCAACGCCGAGAUACGAGACGACGGCAUUUUGUCCGAAAGUCAGCAAUCCCAUGCUUCCGAGAAAAGCCUCGUAGGGAGUUGCGCUGGUGACCGUACCGCAAACCGACUCAGGUAGGUGGGGAGAGCAUCCCAAGGCGCUUGAGAGAACUCUGGUUAAGGAACUCGGCAAAUUGACACCGUAACUUCGGGAGAAGGUGUGCCUCGGUUGGUGAGAGGAUUCACUCCUCGAGCUUUCCGGGGUCGCAGUGAUCAGGGGGUAGCGACUGUUUACUAAAAACACAGCACUCUGCUAACUCGUAAGAGGAUGUAUAGGGUGUGACGCCUGCCCGGUGCCGGAAGGUUAAGGGAACUCGUCAGCCUCUUCGGAGGCGAAGCGAUGAACCGAAGCCCCGGUAAACGGCGGCCGUAACUAUAACGGUCCUAAGGUAGCGAAAUUCCUUGUCGGGUAAGUUCCGACCUGCACGAAUGGCGUAACGACUUCCCCGCUGUCUCAACCAGGGACUCAGCGAAAUUGAAAUGACGGUGAAGAUGCCGUCUACCCGCGACUAGACGGAAAGACCCCGUGCACCUUCACUACAACUUCACACUGGCCGUCGGUCUUGCAUGUGUAGGAUAGCUGGGAGGCUUUGAAGCUGGGACGCUAGUCUCGGUGGAGCCAACCUUGAAAUACCAGCCUUGUGUGCCUGACGUCCUAACCGAGACCCGUAAUCCGGGCCCGGGACAGUGUGUGGUGGGUAGUUUGACUGGGGCGGUCGCCUCCUAAAGAGUAACGGAGGCGCACAAAGGUCCACUCAGGCUGAUUGGAAACCAGCCGAAGAGCGCAAAGGCAUAAGUGGGCUUGACUGUGAGACCUACAAGUCGAGCAGGGACGAAAGUCGGUCUUAGUGAUCCGGUGGCACCGUAUGGAAGGGCCAUCGCUCAACGGAUAAAAGGUACGCCGGGGAUAACAGGCUUAUGGCGCCCAAGCGUUCACAGCGACGGCGCCGUUUGGCACCUCGAUGUCGGCUCGUCACAUCCUGGGGGUGAAGCAGCUCCCAAGGGUUCGGCUGUUCGCCGAUUAAAGUGGCACGCGAGCUGGGUUUAGAACGUCGUGAGACAGUUCGGUCCCUAUCUGUCGUGGGCGCAGGAGAUUUGAGAGGAGCUGUCCCUAGUACGAGAGGACCGGGAUGGACGCAGCUCUGGUGUACCGGUUGUCGCGCCAGCGGCACAGCCGGGUAGCCAUCUGUGGACGGGAUAACCGCUGAAGGCAUCUAAGCGGGAAGCCCACCUCGAGACGAGAUCUCCCUCGGACUUCGGUCCGCUAAAGACCCCUUCGAGACCAGGAGGUUGAUAGGCCGGGUGUGGAAGCGCAGUAACGCGCGGAGCUAACCGGUACUAAUCGGUCGUGAGGCUUGACCU